CCGCAGGUUCGGGUCGAACGCAGUGAGACAACGGAGCCGUUUACGGCGACGGCCCGAAGGGCGAGCGAAGCGAGUCAUCCUGCACGACCCACCA
rnacentral:sRNA from 3 species